rnacentral:rRNA from 1 species
UACAGAGGUCUCAAGCGUUGUUCGGAUUCAUUGGGCGUAAAGGGUGCGUAGGUGGCGCGGUAAGUCGGGUGUGAAAUCUCGGAGCUUAACUCCGAAAUUGCAUUCGAUACUGCCGUGCUCGAGGACUGGAGAGGAGACUGGAAUUCUGGUGUAGCAGUGAAAUGCGUAGAGAUCAUGAGGAAGACCAGUGGCGAAGGCGGGUCUCUGGGCAGUAACUGACGUGAGGAGCGAAAGCGUGGGGAGCGAACAGG